rnacentral:rRNA from 1 species
UACGGAGGGUGCGAACGUUAAUCGGAAUCACUGGGCGUAAAGCGCGCGUAGGCGGUCUGUUAAGUGGGAUGUGAAAUCCCCGGGCUUAACCUGGGAAUUGCAUUUCAAACUGGCCGACUAGAGUACGGUAGAGGGAGGUAGAAUUUCCUGUGUAGCGGUGAAAUGCGUAGAUAUAGGAAGGAAUACUAGUGGCGAAGGCGGCCUCCUGGAUCGAUACUGACGCUGAGGCGCGAAAGCGUGGGGAGCAAACAGG